GUACCAUGCUGAAGGUAUAUUUGACUCACUAUUUUCUUUACUCCAAAUCGCUGAGAAAAUCCAACUCUUUAGUACUUGUUUGAUUUAGCCAUUUCUUUCAACUUUGUUAAGUAUAGUUUGAACUUUGGAUGAUAGACCUGCUCAUUUUUUGGGCCAGGCUAGGCUGAGAUUUUAUUGCCUAGGCCUGGAUCAGCCCAACAAAUUGGCCCUAACCUUUUU
rnacentral:misc_RNA from 1 species